UACAGAGGUCUCAAGCGUUGUUCGGAUUCAUUGGGCGUAAAGGGUGCGUAGGUGGCGCUGUAAGUCGGGUGUGAAAUUUCGGAGCUUAACUCCGAAACUGCAUUCGAUACUGCGGUGCUUGAGGACUGGAGAGGAGACUGGAAUUCAUGGUGUAGCAGUGAAAUGCGCAGAUAUCAGGAGGAACACCGAUGGCGAAGGCAGGUCUCUGGGCUGUAACUGACGCUGAGGAGCGGAAGCAUGGGGAGCGAACAGG
rnacentral:rRNA from 1 species